CACCUCAGUCUACCUGUCUCCUGAGUGAUCUGCUGCAGUGCCUGAACCAGCUUUAUUCAGCUCCUACAGAGAUGUCCUGCCAGCAGAGCCAGCAGCAGUGCCAGCCUCCUCCCAAAUGUACCCCUAAAUGCCCUCCCAAGUGUACUCCUAAGUGUCCCCCAAAAUGCCCUCCCCAGUGUUCAGCCCCAUGCCCACCUCCAGUCUCUUCCUGCUGUGGUUCCAGCUCUGGGGGCUGCUGCAGCUCUGAAGGUGGUGGCUGCUGCCUGAGCCACCACAGGCCCCGCCGGUCCCUCCGACGCCGACCUCAGAGCUCCAGCUGCUGUGGCAGUGGCAGUGGCCAGCAGUCUGGGGGCUCCGGCUGCUGCCACAGUUCUGGGGGCUGCUGCUGACCUGGGCCAUGAGGAGCAUGAAGGAGCAGCACUGGCAGAGCCCAGGUGCCGAAGAUCUGUGUCAGCCUGAGGCUUCUUUUCUCUCAUUUCCCAUGGAAGGACUUCAGAAAUGCCUUAAGUUCUCCUCUUUAUCCUGCCCAUGUUCACUCCAUUGUGGGGUUGAGGUCUACCCUGUGAUAUUUUCUGGCCUGACUUUCCCUCUCAGACAUGGUUCUUUGGAGAACUAGGUGUUGUAAUUCAGUUGUGAAGCUAUUUUUUUUCUGUAACAAUAAAACUUUUUAUUCCUGA